GCAACAUUGUACCCAUCAGCUUUGAGCACCCGCCCCUGUAAACGUCUCUGCACGGCCCUGACCAUGGUAACCACGGACUCUAAGCGGCUGGAUCAACGCAGGUGAAGAGCCUGAGGCCGGUGACAGUCCAGUUCUACUCCAAG